rnacentral:rRNA from 1 species
UAGACAUCAUUUCGAACGCUGACCUC